rnacentral:rRNA from 1 species
UACGUAGGGUGCGAGCGUUGUCCGGAAUUACUGGGCGUAAAGAGCUCGUAGGUGGUUUGUCGCGUUGUUCGUGAAAACUCACAGCUUAACUGUGGGCGUGCGGGCGAUACGGGCAGACUGGAGUGCUGCAGGGGAGACUGGAAUUCCUGGUGUAGCGGUGGAAUGCGCAGAUAUCAGGAGGAACACCGGUGGCGAAGGCGGGUCUCUGGGCAGAAACUGACGCUGAGGAGCGAAAGCGUGGGGAGCGAACAGG